GACGAACGCUGGCGGCGUGCUUAACACAUGCAAGUCGAACGGAAAGGCCCUGCUUUUGUGGUGUGCUCGAGUGGCGAACGGGUGAGUAACACGUGAGUAACCUGCCCUUGACUUUGGGAUAACUUCAGGAAACUGGGGCUAAUACCGGAUAGGAGCUCCUGCUGCAUGGUGGGGGUUGGAAAGUUUCGGCGGUUGGGGAUGGACUCGCGGCUUAUCAGCUUGUUGGUGGGGUAGUGGCUUACCAAGGCUUUGACGGGUAGCCGGCCUGAGAGGGUGACCGGCCACAUUGGGACUGAGAUACGGCCCAGACUCCUACGGGAGGCAGCAGUGGGGAAUAUUGCACAAUGGGCGGAAGCCUGAUGCAGCAACGCCGCGUGCGGGAUGACGGCCUUCGGGUUGUAAACCGCUUUCGCCUGUGACGAAGCGUGAGUGACGGUAAUUGGGUAAGAAGGACCGGCUAACUACGUG
rnacentral:rRNA from 1 species